rnacentral:rRNA from 1 species
UAGGGAAUCUUCGGCAAUGGACGGAAGUCUGACCGAGCAACGCCGCGCGCGUGAAGAAGGUUUUCGGAUCGUAAAUCUCUGUUGUUAGAGAAGAACGUUGGUAGGAGUGGAAAAUCUACCAAGUGACGGUAACUAACCAGAAAGGGACGGCUAACUACGUGCCAGCAGCCGCGGUAAUACGUAGGUCCCGAGCGUUGUCCGGAUUUAUUGGGCGUAAAGCGAGCGCAGGCGGUUCUUUAAGUCUGAAGUUAAAGGCAGUGGCUUAACCAUUGUACGCUUUGGAAACUGGAGGACUUGAGUGCAGAAGGGGAGAGUGGAAUUCCAUGUGUAGCGGUGAAAUGCGUAGAUAUAUGGAGGAACACCGGUGGCGAAAGCGGCUCUCUGGUCUGUAACUGACGCUGAGGCUCGAAAGCGUGGGGAGCAAACAGG